CCACACCCAUGUUUGAGACCACACCCACAUUUGAUUAGGUUGCAACCCACACCAAUAUUUGAGACCACACCCCACCCACGUUUGAUUGGGUUGCAACCUUGGGCAAACUGCAAAUCAACUAUUGGUAAAAAAAAAAAAAAUGCAAAUCAAACCCCUUGACAAACCUCCCAAAAGUUCAAAGAAUUGCCGGAAAGGAUGUGCCCGUAAUCAAAUGAGGUGCACCCCCAACUCUCUCCCUCUCUCAUCUCCUUCGUCGUUUCCCUCUUCCUCCUCUUUCACCAUGGCGGCCUCGACCUCCCAAAACGACCAGCUGUUGCAGAUUUAUCCUACUUCCCCCGCUCGUGUUUCCCCUUUUUGGAGAGGUUCUUCUUCUUCCCGUUUUGCUUUUCCUCUUCUCAAAUUCUUGGUUUCUUAAACUUGGUAAUCUUCUAUGGGACCCUUUCUUGGUUUUCUUGAGUCCUUUGUUUUUGAGCUUGUUUGUUAAGCUUGAUCUUGUUAUAUCAGAGUUUUCGUCUUUCUUUUUUUUUUUCAUUUGCAGAGAAAUAUGAAAAGAAUGCUAGAAAAUACUGGGAUGUAUUCUAUAAGGGCUAUGAAAACAAGGUAAAGUGCGGUGGUUAUGAUUGUUUCCAAAUUUUCAUGAUUUCACUCUUGUUUUUUUGAAACUGCAGUUCUUCAAAGAUCGGAGCUAUUUGGACAAGGAAUGGGGGCUUUAUUUUACUUGUCCCCAAGACAAUGAUGAAAGCAAGUUGUACACAGGGAGAAAUUCUGAUAUGAGAAAGGUUGUUUCAGAGGUAGUACUCUUUGACGGCGAAUAUUUUUUUAUCUUUAUUGUGUUCUGCCUUGAGCCAUCUUACUCAGUAUUGCAUUCAUUUACGGUAAAAAAUGAGAGAUUAAGAAUUGUUCAUUUUUUUUUUCUUUCAAAUAUUUUUACUUGUUUUUCACUUUUGUUUAACAUUCUCAAAAACAAAAAAAAAUUGUUUUACUUGUUACAUGAAGUUUAGAAUGAGGACGUUCUGGGUUGAAUUCAAUGAUUACCUCUAUCAUAUUUCACUCAUACUUAGCAAGUCUCCAAUUAAAACAUGAUUUUUUCAAAAAUCUUAGAUUUUUUGCAAUCCAUUAAGAACUCCAAGUUUUUCAAAGCAUCUUUUAAAAAAUCACGUUCUUUUAUGGAAGCGAUAUAAAUGUGUAUCUUAUUUCAAAAAAACUUCUUAAAAAAAGUUCUUCCCUAGGAUUUUCUUGUUAUAUGUUGGUUUAAUAUCUUUGAGUUUUUUGAGACAAAGCACAUGAAAAGUGGGAUUAAAUUGAGAAUCUGAAAAAAAACUUCCAUCAAACAUUUUCACCAACAUAUUCCCUUAAAGAAUUGUAUUUCAAAAGAAAAAAACACUAGCAAUGUACUCCUUGGAAAAAAGUAUUCUCCCAAAACAACCAUAUAUCUCAAAAUAAUCGACAGAGUUUGAGGAAGAGUAACCGAAUGAAAAAUCUUCUUUUUCUCCAAAUCAAGAAUAUCAUUACAAAUUGCAAGGGAGAGAUUCAGUCACGACUAAAGAUUUUGGCAAUUGAGAAUUCGGGGUGAUGUUUGAAUAUCGUGGUUUGCGUACACAUUGGUCAUUACAAGUAAGCAUUUUGUUGCUCUCUCUAUAUACAUAAGUUUGAUUAAUUUUACAGUUUUUAAAUUUCUUGUUAUUUCACUGUGUGUGCAGCACUACAAUUGAAUGAACUAUUGUUUCUUUAUUUUUCUUAACUGCAAUCCUAUGGGGGUUCUUUGUUUCUUCCUAACAGUAAUCCUAUAUGUCAGGUCACAAUUCUUGUUAUUUCUUAAUGUAAUUGUGGCGUUUAUUAUCGUUGCUGUUGUUUCAUUGUAUGCUCCCAAUAAAAUUAUUAACUUCUUAUGUCGUGACUGUCAAGGAAGCAUUAUUGUUGUAUGUAAUUGAAAUUAUGAUAAAAAAUUGUUAGGUAUUGCCCAAAAUGAUUCCAGGUAAGGGUAUAAAACCUUUUUUUGGGUAAAUAGUAAGGACAUGAAAUUAUUGUGCAAUGACUUUAAUGUAUCCUCACAAUAACUGCAAAUCAUAAUUUUAUCUUAUGUCAGUUUUACAUACUGAUUUUUCAAUACUUUUUAUUAGUCAAAUUUGGAAUAUUCAUGAUUCUUUAACUUAACUAAUUUUUGGCAACCCAUAUUUUGGCCCCAACUUUUGCGUUUGACUUAUCGGAACAAAAUUGAUAUAUGACUGAUAUUUUGGUUUGCCGAUAUUUACUAUGAUUUCACUUGCUUUUCAUAUUGUGCCAAGAUCACUUUACUCACAAAUGUUCACUAAUCAUGUUGAAUUUUUUUUCAUAUUCAAUAACAUAUGAUUUUGACUAUUGCGGAGUUUGAUUGUGAAUAAAUUCCCAUAACUCCACAAGAUAACAUGAUUUUGAUAACUAAUAGGUUGGCUGUGGAGCUGGAAAUACUGUGUUUCCUUUGAUUUCGACCUUUCCGAAUAUUUUUGUUCAUGCAUGUGAUUUUUCACAACGUGCAAUUGACUUGGUCAAGGCGAUUUAUCCAAUCUCAGGUGCUGGAUUCAAGCCGUAUUCAGCUAUGUAGAUGAUAUUGAAUCUUCACCUUCCCUGACAAGUAAUGGUGGAGAAGAAGUUAAGAGCCAUGUCCAAAUCAUGAACUGUUCUGUUUUCCAGUCUGAUAUCAGAACACUUAAGAAGCCAGCUGAUGGUGCUAAAGACGUGUCAUAUAGCUUGGCUGAAAUGUUCGGAAUUCCCGAUGAGUAUGAUGCGGGGCUUAAAUCUCCACUGACUUACCUUUUAUGAGAAUGGGCUGGGGGGGCCUUGACAGUAGUACCAACGAGCUCUAUGAUGAAGUCUCUGACUCCAUUCUUACCAAAGGUGCGCAGAGAUCACUUUGAAUGGGUUCAACUUCAAAAUAAAAGGGCUUCAUAGAGAACACCAGCACACCUGCAAAUCAACUGGUUUGAUGCUAUGGGAGUCCGCUCACCUGAUGUCCUCAGUUAUCAGAAAAUCCAAAAAUUGUUGCUGGGAAGAGGAUCCUAGAAUUGGGUUGUGGCUCAGGUGGAAUUUGGUGUGGCCAAAUUUGCGGACCUUGUAGUUGCAACCAAUGGCGAUUCAGAAUCUCUCAACCUUUUACAUCAAAAUAUUAAUUCAAAUCUGGAGCCUUCAAUCCUCGACAAGCUGCACUGCCUGAAACUAGAAUGGGGAAAUGCAGAUCAUAUCAAUGCAGUGAAGGAACUAAGCCCUGAAGGAUUUGAUGUGCUAAUUGGCAUCGACGUGACUCAUGUGAGUGAUGCCAUCCUUCCCUAAUUUGAGACUGCGAGAGCUUUGAUCUCAACGAGAGUUGGGGGGCCACCACCAGCCUUUAUCUUGUGUCAUGUAUUUUGUCGAGUCGAUGAAGCAUCGAUCAUUUCUUCGGCAUCUAGUUUGGGGUUUGGACUGGGGGAUAAUUGGCCUUUUACCCAUAGUAGUAGUAAUAGCAGUAAUGUUGGGAGCAGCCGUGGUACCAUUGGUUCAUGGUUCUCUCAAGAAGGUAGCUGCAAGAGAAAUUCCCAUACAACUGCUCUCAGAAUCAUGUAGUUUGAAACCCUAGAUAAGUUUGCAUGAUUUUUUUUGUGUAUGCUGCCAUUUCUACAAACACCAAAAAUUUUUUAUCUUCUCAUUGUGGUUGAACUUAAUAAAUUGUGAGUUUUUCCUUGUGUUU